rnacentral:rRNA from 1 species
AAUCAAGCGCGAAAAGGGCGUUUGGUGAAUGCCUUGGCAGUAAGAGGCGAUGAAAGACGUGAUACUCUGCGAUAAGCCAUGGGGAGCUGAGAAUAAGCUUUGAUCCAUGGAUUUCUGAAUGGGGCAACCCACCUGAUACUGUGUUAUUGUUAACCGCUUCGGCGGCGAUCAAUAAUGCGGUAAAACAGGUAUUUCUAGACUGAAUACAUAGGUUUAGAAAAGCAAACCCGGGGAACUGAAACAUCUAAGUACCCGGAGGAAAGGAAAUCAAUUGAUACUCCCCUAGUAGCGGCGAGCGAACGGGGACCAGCCGAGCCAUGAGUGUGGUUAGAAUGCGUUGGAAUGCGCAACCAGAGUGGGUGAUAGUCCCGUAUAAGAAGCAUGAUUGGACGUAUUAAGUAGGGCGGGACACGUGAAAUCCUGUUCGAAGAUCGGAGGACCACCUUCGAAGGCUAAGUACUCCUUACUGACCGAUAGUGAACCAGUACCGUGAGGGAAAGGUGAAAAGCACCCCGACGAGGGGAGUGAAACAGUACCUGAAACCGAACGCCUACAAUCAGUUGGAGGGUCCUUGCGACCUGACAGCGUACCUUUUGUAUAAUGGGUCAUCGACUUGGUCUCACGAGCAAGCUUAAGCCGUUAGGUGUAGGCGCAGCGAAAGCGAGUCUUAAUAGGGCGUUGAGUUCGUGGGAUCAGACCCGAAACCGAGUGAUCUAGGCAUGGCCAGGUUGAAGGUAAGGUAACACUUACUGGAGGACCGAACCCACAUCCGUUGAAAAGGAUCGGGAUGAGCUGUGCCUAGGGGUGAAAGGCCAAUCAAACUCGGAGAUAGCUGGUUCUCUGCGAAAUCUAUUUAGGUAGAGCGUCAUCCGAAUACCCUCGGGGGUAGAGCACUGGAUGGGUAAUGGGGCCCCACAGGCUUACUGAUCCUAACCAAACUCCGAAUACCGAGGAGUACUAGAUGGCAGACACACGGCGAAUGCUAACGUCCGUCGUGAAGAGGGAAACAACCCUGACCUCCAGCUAAGGCCCCUAAUUCAUGGCUAAGUGGGAAAGCAGGUGAGACGGCCAAAACAACCAGGAGGUUGGCUUAGAAGCAGCCAUCCUUUAAAGAUAGCGUAACAGCUCACUGGUCUAAUUAAGCUGUCUUGCGGCGAAGAUGUAACGGGGCUCAAGCCAUGAGCCGAAGCUGAGGAUGCAUUUAUUGCAUGGUAGCAGAGCGUAGUGUGACAUAAGACUGUGUCUCUUAUAUUUAAGCGGACCAUCCGGUUCUGUUUGAGUGCUAACGCGCUCAAGUAGCCCUCCGGGCGGUAGCGCAAAAUAGUGGAGACGUAGUCUUUUCUGUGAAGCUGGCGCGUGAGCGAUCCGGUGGAGAGAUCACUAGUGAGAAUGAUGACAUGAGUAGCGACAAAGAGUGUGAGAGACACUCUCGCCGAAAGUCCAAGGGUUCCUGCUUAAAGCUAAUCUGAGCAGGGUAAGCCGACCCCUAAGGCGAGGCCGAAAGGCGUAGUCGAUGGGAACCAGGUUAAUAUUCCUGGGCCAGAUGGAAGUGACGGAUCUCGAGGGUAGUUCAUCCUUAUCGGAUUGAAUGGGCUGCUUAGAGGUUCCUGGAAAUAGCUCCAUCGCUAGAUCGUACCCUAAACCGACACAGGUGGACUGGUAGAGAAUACCAAGGCGCUUGAGAGAACUAUGUUGAAGGAACUCGGCAAAAUACCUCCGUAAGUUCGCGAGAAGGAGGCCCGGUUUCUAGGCAACUAGAGGCUGGGGGCACAAACCAGGGGGUGGCGACUGUUUAUUAAAAACACAGGGCUCUGCGAAGUCGCAAGACGACGUAUAGGGUCUGACGCCUGCCCGGUGCCUGAAGGUUAAAAGGAGGGGUGAGAGCUCUGAAUUGAAGCCCAGGUAAACGGCGGCCGUAACUAUAACGGUCCUAAGGUAGCGAAAUUCCUUGUCGGGUAAGUUCCGACCUGCACGAAUGGCGUAACGACUUCCCCGCUGUCUCCAACAUAGACUCAGCGAAAUUGAAUUACCUGUCAAGAUGCAGGUUUCCCGCGGUUAGACGGAAAGACCCCGUGCACCUUUACUACAGCUUCACACUGGCAUUAGGCCGAACAUGUGCAGGAUAGGUGGUGGGCUUUGAAACCGGAACGCUAGUUUCGGUGGAGCCUCCCUUGAGAUACCACCCUUGUUCUGCUUGAUGUCUAACCGCGGUCCGUUAUCCGGAUCCGGGACCCUGUGUGGCGGGUAGUUUGACUGGGGCGGUCGCCUCCUAAAUCGUAACGGAGGCGCGCGAAGGUUGGCUCAGAGCGGUCGGAAAUCGCUCGUUGAGUGCAAUGGCAGAAGCCAGCCUGACUGCAAGACUGACAAGUCGAGCAGAGUCGAAAGACGGCCAUAGUGAUCCGGUGGUCCCAAGUGGGAGGGCCAUCGCUCAACGGAUAAAAGGUACGCCGGGGAUAACAGGCUGAUACUGCCCAAGAGUCCAUAUCGACGGCAGUGUUUGGCACCUCGAUGUCGGCUCAUCUCAUCCUGGGGCUGGAGCAGGUCCCAAGGGUACGGCUGUUCGCCGUUUAAAGAGGUACGUGAGCUGGGUUUAGAACGUCGUGAGACAGUUCGGUCCCUAUCUUCCGUGGGUGUAGGAUACUUGAGAGGAGUUGCCCCUAGUACGAGAGGACCGGGGUGAACGAUCCACUGGUGGACCAGUUGUUAUGCCAAUAGCAGUGCUGGGUAGCUAUGAUCGGACAGGAUAACCGCUGAAGGCAUCUAAGCGGGAAGCCCCCCUCAAAACAAGGUAUCCCUGAGAGCCGAGGUAGACCACCUCGUCGAUAGGCCAGAGAUGUAAGCGUGGUAACACGUUCAGUUGACUGGUACUAAUUGCUCGAUAGGCUUGAUUUG